GUAAGGAAUAUUGGUCAAUGGGCGCAAGCCUGAACCAGCCAUGCCGCGUGCAGGAAGACGGCCCUACGGGUUGUAAACUGCUUUUGUACCGGAAUAAACCUUCUUUCGUGAAAGAAGCUGAAUGUACGGUAAGAAUAAGGAUCGGCUAACUCCGUGCCAGCAGCCGCGGUAAUACGGAGGAUCCAAGCGUUAUCCGGAUUUAUUGGGUUUAAAGGGUGCGUAGGUGGCCUAUUAAGUCAGGGGUGAAAGACGGUAGCUUAACUAUCGCAGUGCCUUUGAUACUGAUGGGCUUGAAUACAGUUGAAGUAGGCGGAAUGUGACAAGUAGCGGUGAAAUGCAUAGAUAUGUCACAGAACACCGAUUGCGAAGGCAGCUUACUAAAGUGUGAUUGACACUGAGGCACGAAAGCGUGGGGAUCAAACAGGAUUAGAUACCCCUGUAGUCC
rnacentral:rRNA from 1 species